rnacentral:rRNA from 1 species
AACGAACGCUGGCGGCAUGCCUAACACAUGCCAGUCGAACGAGACCUUCGGGUCUAGUGGCGCACGGGUGCGUAACGCGUGGGAACCUGCCCUUAGGUUCGGAAUAACUCCCCGAAAGGGGUGCUAAUACCGGAUAAUGUCUUCGGACCAAAGAUUUAUCGCCUUUGGAUGGGCCCGCGUUGGAUUAGCUAGUUGGUAGGGUAAAAGCCUACCAAGGCGACGAUCCAUAGCUGGUCUGAGAGGAUGAUCAGCCACACUGGGACUGAGACACGGCCCAGACUCCUACGGGAGGCAGCAGUGGGGAAUAUUGGACAAUGGGCGAAAGACUGAUCCAGCAAUGCCGCGUGAGUGAUGAAGGACUUAGGGUUGUAAAGCUCUUUUACCCGGGAUGAUAAUGACAGUACCGGGAGAAUAAGCUCCGGCUAACUCCGUG